UCCAGGCUGCACUGAUCUCAUUUAGGGUAGCACAGAAAUUCCUGCAUGUUUGGCCUCAGCAUAUGGAUUUGCAAAAGUGAACUAGAAUGAUGUUCUAGGGAAAAAAAAAGGCAAUUUUUCUUUUUUCUUUCAGUAUCUUCUUUACUCUCACAUCUCUUUUGCUGACUUCUAAAAGCUACAGAUAGUCUCUGCUAUGACCUAAACCUGCUGAUGACUACACAGUUUGAGCGAGAACCAAAUGGUUUGAGUUCUAUGCAUUUUAGGAUUUAAAUUGAUUUUCCACACAAUCUGAUUAAAACAUGUUGCUGUCACAGUCUCAGAAGAGGAUUUUACCACAUUAUUAUCACUCUUUCCAGUAUACCUUUGUCUAGAAGCUUCUGUACUUAAGUUUGCCAGCAUACACAAUAAGGUAAGUACUCAAUUUAACAAUACUUUCCCAUGUGCUAUUGAUCUGCUACAAAGAAACUGUUUUUUGCUUCAAGGGAUACUGCUGUUUACCUUCAAUGAGAAAAUAAUUUCAACCUAAUCACUAAAAUUUGCAUGGGUAGUACAUAUUGCAAUUAGAGUACUCAAUAUUGUUAAAGGAAAAAGACUUUUGGGUCUGGAGUUUGUGGAUACUUUGAAGGAGGCAGAAAGAAAUGUCUUAAUCCUGAUUUUCUUGGGGAAAACUGUUGGAAGAAGGAGCACAGAGAAAGGGAUUUUCUAACAAAAUGAGUGGAAUAGGAAAGGAUGGCCAAAGUCUGUCUUUGAAAGGGAUAUUCCGUGAGGCUGAUGUCAUAUGUGAAUAACUCUUUUAUAUUAACAUGUUUUCUAUAGGAAAAUAAAGCCUAAUAGACUUACCUCAUUUCAACCUCUUUACAGAUAAAAUGAUAAAAAAUUCUUCAGACUUGUGUCCAGGAUAUUUUCAGACUGCUGUUCCUGAGCAUCUCUGCACAUCAGCUGCCAUGCAAGAAUGCCAUGCAUUCUUCACUGUCCAAGUGGCAGGAACUCUGUAACAGAACUGCAACCAGGAAAAAAAGAUGGCAUGUCUAAUAUUUUUGUUUGACUUUGCUUCAAAGGUAAAAUUUAAGAAAAAUGGAAAGAACAUUUGAUCUCAACUUCAUUGUAUAUAAUUUUACUUAGAUAAGACAGAAAUUAUUUAAUUUUUGAGAGGGGAGAGAUUUCCCUCUGGUUUUGACUUUUGUAUUGUCUUUCACAUGGCACACCCACUCACAGCCUUUCUGAAGGCUUGGAUUCCAACUGCUUCUUAUUUUCCAGUGAAAAACUGUCCUACAGGAACAUUUUUGACAAAUGGCGCUAGACAGUAAAGUUUAAACUCAUUAUUGAAUGAAGAAGGAAGAUAUUCUCUGUGCCAGUUUCUAACCGUAGCUGGAAAACUUCAGUUUGCAUGACUGAUUUUAGCCUUUAACCUUGCCACGAGACUGUUAGAGCAACAAGCUGGCAAGAGAAGCAACAUAAAAGGGAGGUGGAAGCUUCUUGGACACCCACGCCAAAAUAUUGAGGCUUCAUCCAGUUAAGAUGUUUUGGAGUGAACUCCGCAGAAUCAUGCUGCUACAGACUUUGGGUGGACUAUAGGGGGCUUGGACUGGUCAAACAGCUUGUCUUGUGGUCAGCUGCCUCAUUGGUUGCACAUCAAAUGCCCUGCCAAGGUUGGUGAUGAUUCUACUGAGAAGGAACAGCUUCAUCAGUGACUGCAUAAGAGCCUGGGGAUUUGCUCUGGAUUACAGGCAAGUGUCACCUCAGAUAUAUAAAAUAUGUACACAUUUCUUCAAUAGUCUCAGGUGUUGCCAUUUACAGCCUUUCCUGCUAAGCCUGUUAAAUCUGUAUAUUUAUGAAGUAAUUGUCACCAUACAAGGGAUGCAACUCUACAGUCACUCUUCUUCUCUCACUGUCCUCUCAGUCUGUGGAUCUGGCAGGUGGAUAAAACAAAUCCUCCAGGUGAGAGCAUGCAGAUCACAAUCCCUGCCAGGCUCCUUGAACCACAUCUAUUCUUCCACCAAAUCAAUUAUCCUGUGAUGUAGCAAGUGUCCAGGAAAAUCUACCCCACAAAAAGACUGAAAGACCUAUCACAAAAAUAGUGAGACCCAAGAAUACCUCUCAGACACUUUCAGUAUUUGUGACCCACAACAAGCAACAUGGAUGGAGAACAGAACAAGGGUAAAAAGGCUUUUCUAGAACGUGGGAAAGGGGAGAUAAGUCAGAGUGACAAAAAAUGGCAUUUUUCUACUCUCAUAGAAGAGAGGACUGCUCUUCAAACUUCAACUCCACAUCAGUCAGCGGCAAAUUUCAUUGGUAAGAUAUUGCCAAAACUCAAUCCCAGCACUUCCCAUAUCCACGUGGAUGGGCUGGCAGGUAACAUAGGUAUGCAUGUCUUAUGUACUGUCUUAUUUAUUGUAAAAACUAUGUAAUUGGUUUCUAUCUGCAUUGAGCUCUUUACUGAGCUCCUUACUCUUGAAGCCCUUAUGAGGGUUGUAGCAAUAGGAAUAUUGGACAUUUCAGUGAUGCCUUUUCUUACUUGCCUACGUAGUCUUCUCUGAUAUACCUGCUUUCAGAUUUCAAGUCUUUCCCUCCCUUUGAAUCACAGCUUUGUGUGACAUGUUUCAAGGCAAAUGUUCAAUCAAUGCAAAUUUUCUUUAACUCAGUUGCCGCUAACAGGAGAGGUGGUUGGUUCACACAUCUCUGCAAAAUCUGAGACUUGGAGCAUUAUUCUAGAGACUCUGGUGAUUCAGGAGUCUGUGUGUGCAGGGAGUCCUAAAUUUUGUGAGAAGCUUUCUGUUUUUCAGAGUGCAGGCAGAGGGGUUGCAAAAGUGGACCAACCCUUUAAAUAAAGUUGACUGAAGCCACCUUUGAUUGAUAAUAAACAUAAAGAAGAUCAAUAGGUCUAAGUAGUGGUGCCUAAAACCUGCACAAAAGGUGUUUCAGAGGUUUUACUUUGAGCUGAGCAUGUAGGUGUCACUAACCUCUCUAUGCUGCUGCCUCAGGCCUAAAAUGCAAACUUAGGUGGACCCUGUUUCAACCCCAUGUCACAUCAUGACAGAUACAAGUCUUCCAUAAGGUCUUUAUGUUCAUUGUCCAGUGCUGAAAUAAUUCCUGGGAAUUGAGGUUAGAGAGGUGAUGCCACCACUUCACCCAAGUAUUUCUACCUAAUCUCAGCUCCCUCUCUGAGUUAACUGGUGAGCUUGUGCUAUCCCUCAAAGGCACUCUUUCCCAUGAAGCUCAGUUCUGUUCUCAACAAAAUAUUAAUAAAUAGGUAGGAAUGUGCAUAAUUUUUAGAGUUACAGAAUAAGGAGAUUAAUAAAGAAUGACAUCUGUAGUGUACACGCAACUGUUUCUGCCAUCUUCCAUGCGAUCCCUGUACAAUUGCCCAAGCACUUGCACAAGUGCAAAGCAAGUCAUGCUGUGUGGGGAAUGGGGGUGGAAGAACUGGCAGGGAGAUGCCUUGGGAAAGUUCUGUUGUCUAAAUCAGACUGAGUUGCCAUGGUAACCUCCCAUAAUCCUUCACAACUGUUAUGCUAAUGCGCAGGGGAAUGACGUGUGUGUUAUACACACCCCUUUCUAGAACAUUCUUGGUGUUUUGAUCUCCCAUUGGUUACUCUGUUGGAGCCACCCCCUCCUCGUUCCCCAUUGGAUGGUUUUCAAUCACCCCACCUUUGCUCCUCCUCCUGCACCCUUUCCCAUUGGAUCGUUCAUACUGUAACCCCACCUACCUACGGCUGUUUAUAUACCCUGGACCUUCCUUCAACUAUUGGACUUUUUCUCUGGUGCCCUCCUGUGUAGUUGUGUACCUGCUUUUGGAUCCUGCCUGUUCUUCUUCCCUACAAUAAACACAUUGGAAUUAUCCACGACUGAGUCACUUCCUUCACCCUGUGCCUAUAGGAGCCCAACACAGCUCAGGCUGCUGAUUUGCUCUAAGUGUUCCUACCCUGGUAAAAAAAAGAACUGGAUGUGACAGCAGUCCUCAGCCUUUGAAUGUAUGAAAACUGGUGACAUCGGAAUUUGGAGAUAUGGCCAAACAUUGGAGUUUAGUGAGAAGCUGGCUGCUCUCUGGAAGUCACUAGCACAGGAACCGGGACUUUGUUGAUGCAUGAAAAAGGAAGGACAGAGCUAUGACUGGUAAUGCCUGCAGUCCUACUGCUGCUGAACUCAAUAACCAAACCACUGCCAUGCUAGGAUCAGCACAGAGAGGAGAAUGGAACAGCUGUGAUGGGAGGUGAGAUUAACAGACACCAGUGUCAGGAUAUGAAACAUGAAAAGGACAGAGUCAUGACUGUAGAGGAGGAAGUGGACACACAAAGUUGUGUGAAACCUUAAAAUCAUAGAAUCACAGAACACUUUAGUUUGAAAGGGAUCUUUAAAACAUGUCUAGUCCAGUCCCUCCAAAAAUGACAUCUUCUAUUACGGGAUAUCUUCAAGUAGUUGAGGUGGUUCAGAGUCCUUUCCAAUAUGACUUUGAAUGAGCCCCAGGAAUGGGGCAUCUACCACCCCUCUGGUCAGCCUGUUCCAAUGUUUCACCACUCUCACUGUAAAAAAAUUAUUCCUUUCAUCUAGUCUGAAUCUACCCUCUUUUGGUUUAAAACCAUUACUUCUUUUCCUGUUGCAAUUGACCCUGCUAAAAUUCUGUACCCAUCUUUCUUUUAAAACUUCUUUAAGUACUGGGGAAUUAAGGUCUCCCUGGAAUGUUUUCUCUUCAGGGUAAUCAGCCCAAAUUCUCUCCGUCCUUCUACACAGGAGAGGUGCUCCAGCCCUGUGAUCAUUUCUGUGACCUCCUUUAGACUUGCUCCAGCAAGCUGAUGUCCUUCCUGUGCUGUGGACCACAGAGCUGGAUGCAACACUCCCGGUGGGAUCUCACCAAAGCAGACGAGAGGGGCAGAAUCCUCUCCCUCAACCUACUCAGUCUUUGGAUUCAGCCCAGGAUAUAGCUGGGUCUCUGGGCUGUGAGUGUAUGUUGUGAGUCACGUCCAGCUUUUCAUCCAACAGCACCCCCAAGUCCUUCUUGGCAGGGCUGCUCUCAAUCCCUUCAACCCCAGCUAUAUUGAUACUAGGGUUGCUCCUACCCAAGUGUAGGACCCUGUUCUUGGCCUUGUUAAAACUUAUGAGUGACCCAUGGGCCACUUCUCGAGCUUGUCCAGGUCCCUCUGGAUGACAUCCCAUCCUUCAGGUGUGCCAACAGCAUGACUCAGCUUGGGGCCAUCUGCAAAUCUGCUGAGGGUGCACUCAACCCCACAGUGUCACUGAUGAAAAUAUUAAACAAUGCUAGUCCCAGUAUAGAUUCCUGAGGGGUACUACUUGUCACUGAUCUUCAUUUGAAUGCAUAUUUUUCAAAGCUCUCUGACUCUGUCCAUAGAUCCAAUGCCUUACACACCCAUGAAAUCUGUAUCCAUCCAGUUUGGAGUUCAGAAUGUUGGGUGGGACCAUGUCAAAGACAUUACAGAAAUCGAGAUAAACAUUGUUGCGGUGUGAUGUCAUAGUUUGCUUCAGAUACCCCAGGUUUCUCCCUGAAGAUUCCUUCCCCAGGUGUGUCAAUCACCUCUCCUUUCCCCACCCUGACCCCUGCUAAGUACUGUCUAUCAGACCUGGAAUUCCAGAAGGGCAUUGAGUGAUUGGGCAAGUUCAAAAGAUAAACACUACCUCUGGGGGGCAUUGAACAAUCCAGGUAUCCUUUAUCCCUUGGGACCUCCUCUCCCAUACCCGGUUGGUGGGUUCCCUCUCCAUCCCCUUCCCUUCUCCCCCAGGGGAAAGGGCGAACAGGCCACACAGUCGGGAGUUCUGUUGGAGCUGUUGCUGGAUUCAGGGGCCAUGUGGGCCAGAAUAAAAACUCUGGAAUAAAACCCUCCAUCAGAACCGACUCCUUCCUUCACCAUCGCCUUAAAGUUUCUCUGGCGCACGGAAACCUGGGGAGUGACCCUCUACGAGAGUAAGCUCCAGCCACACCACCGAAGCUCCAGCAUGCCUGAACUUGUUCCCACAUGCCCAUCUAGCUAGCCAGAAGUGUCUCUGGGGUGAAACACCACAGUUGCCACUAUUUGGCUUAGCUGCAGGGGCAGACAUCCCAUUCAGCAAUAUUGGUAUAUUCCAAUACAUCAUCCAUAGCUCUUCACCUGUCCACUCAUGCAGACACUGCAUCGGUUCACUGCAUUUUCACUGCAGCUCUGGUUGCUUCCUACCUCAAUGUCACACAUGAGCUCACUUGCACUGGUGACCAUCAGGUUCAGUAACAGAUCUCCUCUGUCAGGGCUGUCAAUUUCCUGUCUUAAGAAGUUAUCCUCUGUGCAUUCCGGCAGUCCCCUGGAUUGCCUACAGCUCACCAGAGAUGUUGGAGGUUGAAGUUCCCCAGCAGAACAAGGUCCUGUGAGCAUGAUGGCUUCUUGCUCCCGUAGCUGGAGCAAGAAGAUUUUGUAGUCAAUAGGCUCCAGGUGACCAAGAGACCUGUAAUAGGCACAAUCCAAAAGGUUCUUUCUGUUACCUCAUCCUCUGAUUCUCACCCAAAAAUUCUCAACCUGUUUGCAGCUGUUCUUCAGAGAGAGUCCUUCACAUUCCAUUCAUUUCUUAUGUAGAGGGCAACCCACACAGAGCCCUGCCUGUCCCUUCUGAACAGCCUGUAGCUGUCAGUAGCCACACUCAUAAUGAGAUUCAUCCCACCAUCUUUCAGAGAUGAUAACUAGUUCAUAUCCUUUUAGCAGCACAGUGACUUCCAGCUCCUCCUAUUUGUUACCCACAACUGCACCCACUGGUGUAGAGUCACUUCAGCUGAGCUGUCAUCUAUGUAGCCUUUUUAGAGGAAUGCUCUUUAAUCUUUCUGAGAUUUUUCACCAGUGUUCACCUCUAGGCUUCUAUUACCUCAGGAGCCCUUGAGUCAUCUCUGCAAGACUAUUAUUUUCUAUUAUCUAUGAUAUAUCAUGCACAUCAUGGCAAAUCUUUGCAAUUAAGAGGUUGAGUACCUUAAAAAUGAAGAAUAGUCAAAUAGUUUUCCAGAUGAAGAGGACUUCUGGCUGGCUUGCUACGACCCAGCAAUAUUUACCUCUAGAUUCUUGAAUUUUCCAGUCACCAGCUUUGGGGUGCCCAGUAGAUUAAUUAGUGAUGCAGAGGGCACAGAUCCAGUUUAGUGACAUGCUCAAUAAAUAUAAAAUAAAAUAUUGUUUUCACAUCUAUCUUUAAAAUAUCUGCUUAAUCAAUGAACGAAGUGUGUACCUACAUGCAGCAUUACAGUCCCUGGGUGGGCAAGGAUAGGUUGGCUUUAAAUCUACGCAGGGACUUAGCCUAUCACAUUCUGUCCUAAGCUGCAGACAUCUCACUGUUCAGAAGCUGGGCUAUGUGGGGAUCAGAUCAAUCAGCAGUUGAGACUGGGGUGUUUCAAAUUCCCUAUAUGUACUAGGUUUGGACAAUGAAACAGGCUGUUUGCUGCAUGAAACUUUGAGGUGUGUGUGUCAUCCCUGUCUCUGACCACCGACCCCAUGAAUCACAUGGCCCUAACGUAAUACCUAAGGAAUUACAUUAGAGUCCAUUCAUUUUAAUUCUUUUCAGCUAACUCUGAAGUGGUAUCACCAAAGCCAAUUCAUAACUGUAUGGGUAUUCCUCAUUUAGGCAGCUUGGUAAGAGGAUGGACAGGACAGAGAGAGAGAUGCACCACUUUACUGAGAGAGAUGCACCACUGUACUGAGAGAGAUGCACCACUUUACUAAGAGAGAUGCACUAAACAAUGACAAUACCUGUUGUACUGCAUUCAGGGGAGGUGUGUCACUGCCUUCCAAGAUAACACUGCCAUAACAAAAUCAGUAUGCCCUUGCCUCCUACCUCAGACAUCAGAAUCUAGGCACUUUAAGGUAAAUGUUUCCUUUGAAGUCAGUGAAGGUGCAAGGACACUGGAUUGAGGAGAAUCAGAGCCCUAAAAUGUUUGUGGUUGUAGAAGAUAGAAGGGAAAACCCGAAGUGGAACAAGCAACUCAAAGUGAAGAUUUCAGCUUACCCCAGUCUGGACCAAGAUCAUUGCUUUUCCCAGUCUUUGUGCCAUUUCCCUGAGCAGAAAUUCCUUGGAGCAACACAUUGAGCAUUGGAAACAGGCAUGACCAGAACAGAGCGUGAGGGUCUCCUGAACAAGAUAAUGAGCUUCAGCUAGCUUGGACCAAAGCUGCUUAAAUAGCUCCCCAUACCUUCCUUCUUCAGCUAUCACUAACAGUAAUACUUAAAAAAAGACAUUGGCAGUGAUUAAUUUUAGGUACUUACCAGCCCUGUCUGCCUGAAUUCAGGUAUGCCGUGCACUACUGCAUUGGUUCUGCUGUGGUGGGAUGCUGGGUGCAGUCAUCUGUCCUGCUGUUGCAGCUGCUAGCCUGAGGCCUUAUGAAUCCUAAUUUCAUUUUGGAAUAUGGACUUGCUGCCAAGUUUGGUAUGAUAUGUUUGCCUUGGGGUCCUAAAUGCAUGUUGCCUGCCAGACUGCCUCUUGUGAUGUUCCUGCUGUCUGCCAACCUUGUCUCCUAUUCUAGGUGCUGGCAGAGUCAUUUCGGAAAGGGAAGUGUCAGGUUCUCAGCAUAUCAAUUGAGGCUUUUGAUGUUGUGUUACACACUUGUUAGUCCCGUAGAUUCUUACAUGAGAAUGUUUUCAAAACAUUCCAGUGCUCCAGCUUUUGAGUACGCAGUGGGACAAAAGGCUAGCAUGACUCAUUGCUCACACGCAGGUAAUGCUACAGGCAGACUACACUCCUGGUCCACAUAGGUGGAGUUACAUAAGACUCCUCCCUAGGGGUGGGAGUCCUCUGCUCCUCAGAGUUGCAGUCAUUGCAGAGCUUCUCCCAAAACUCCCCCAUGCCCUGAAUUUACCGCAUCCCCUAAGUACUGCUGGGUGUUUAGAGUUUCCUUCCUUCAGAACAGAGCUGAGAGUAGUAAGCAGAAAAUAGAGGGGAAAUUCCUUGUUGUUUUCAGCUAAAUUAAAAAAAAUAAAGUUCAGAAGGCCAGGAAAUUUCUUGAUUACUUGAUUUAUUCAAAGAUCUGUGCAUCUGGGUUAUUUCUUAUCCUGAAUGAAUGUAGUAUAUUCUGAAACAUUUGUCUUUCCUUCACACCUUAAAGUAAGCAGCAUCUGUUAAAGCACACAGUGUUUAAAAUAUACACCUGUGUUACUGGGGAAACAGGACUUAUAUAGGAAAGAAAAUGUUGCCUUCUAACUAGCAUAUCCUAUAAAGCAAAAGAAAGCUCAUUAAUAUACCUCCAUUAAUUUAGGUUGGUCCCUUAGUUUCAAUAUUAUUAAUUACACAAAUUAUUGUACACCAGUUUAGUGUCAACUGUUUUUCUUUUAUUCUUUGAGAUUCUCAUUCAUUUGCAAUUUCCCACUGGAGAUCCAAACUGUGGCUUUAAAUGCAAAUAGUCACCAUGGCCAGUUUCUGCAAACCAGAAUAAAGUUAUUCAAAGGAACUAGUGGCUUCAUUUUGAUCUUCUUGUUCAUCUUCUCCUUGGAAGAAAUUUGGAAGACAAUUAAAGUUUCAUUUACAUAACACCCAGUGCUAGGGUUCUGACUUGUGCAUAUUGGACAGAAAACAAAAGGGUUAAUUUAGUCCUCUAAUCUAUUGUUAUAUGCCUAAUUAUUUUACAUGUCUUCAUUUCAUUAAUGAAUUUCUCAUUUUUCCAUGCAUCUCCUUCCCCAUUGCUUUUGUUUAAACCUCCUGGUGGGAAGAGAUAGAUUAAUUUUGUUGUGCCUUAAUGGAACUGUAUGCUACAUUAGAUUUAACCAUUUGGCAUGCACUGCCAACAUCACCAUUAUGCAUAAUGAAUUACUUUUUGUGAGUCCCAAACUAACAUAGAUCUUCAAUGUUCCUCUAAAUAUUGCAACUACACAGCUGGCAAAUAUCAUUACCUUGAACUUACAUGGAAACCUAGAGCUUGACACAAGACAUCUUCAGAAAUUUUUCCAUUAAAAAAUGGGAAUUUCUUUUAAAAAUGCAGGAGCAUUCAAGACAAGAUGUGAAAAGCUCAUUAAGCUUUGCUGUUAUCUUCCAUUAACUGUGUUUGAUAUGUGUAUGCAUGUGGGUGUGUGCAUAUCCUGGGCCUACAGCCACACGCAGAACCCCCAAUGAGGCAGUGUGUGCUUUGUGUCAGGACCAGACAAACUUCCUUGCAGUCUGCCUGUGAGUAUGGAGAUUAACAUUUGUCUCAGCUGCUGAAGCUUUUCACACGUGAACCCUUUGCCUCAGCAGUCAAUCUGAGGACCCUGACAGGAUUUCUCUCGCACAGUUUACACCAGUGGAAUGACAUAGGGAGAAAAUUGAUUAAACGUGCAAACCAAGCUUCUUCCUCUCAGGUCCAGUGUCCGUUCACCUUUGGUUUCUUUGUUUGCUCUUCAUCAGAGGUGCUCAGCCAGUUCAUCAUCAGGGCACCAUAUGCAGUACUUUAUGAAUCAGGCAGUUGGAGGCUUCUUUCACCACUUCUGCAGUCACCUGGUUAAACCUUAGGACAUGGGGAUCCCAGAUGCAAUCUACUAUAGCAGGGCCCUUUCCUAGGAGCAUGAUGGUUGAGUUACCCAAGUUGAGGAGAUAUAAAUGUGGUCCAUGCACCUGCCCAUGCACCUUGUUCCAGGACCAGUUAAAAUCUGGCUACUGCAGCCCAACCUAAAUCACAUCUGUCAUCCCAUCCACCUGGGACAUCUCACAGUCAGGGCAGUUACAAACUUGUUUGUCCAGGAGUAACAGAAGUCAUUCAAACCAAGAGACAAAUGUGACAUACCCCAGCAUGAGUAUAAUAGCUGAUAAUUGGUCAAUGUGUGCUGGAAAUCCUCUACUGGUAAUGUCUGCCUCUUUGUUCACCUCCACCAGCAUCCACUUUCAGCCUCCUCGUACCCAGCUUUGAACACUCAACUCUCUCAUUCACACGCCCCCUGUGAGCUCUCCUGUUUUUGCUGGACACAACAAAAUUAACCCUGAAGCAACACUGAACUCUCAGAUAGAGACACAGGACUCUGAAACGCUGCCUAUAUAUCGUUGCCAUGCCAGUAUAUCUGUUAUGAACACCAAUGUGUGUGUUAAGCUAAAAAAGGUUUUCAGACAAAAUCUGACAUUAGGCAAAACAAAGCACAGGACAAGCCAGUUCUAUGAACCUUUAACUGAUGUGCACAGCACUCAUCAAGGAAAGCUAGGAAUAUUCUGUGCAUAUUCCCCACAAGUUUUAAUUACAGACACUGAAACUGAGUGCAGUGUUAGACUGCAAGCAGGGACACUGACUAUAAAACUAAAUUUAACUUGUGGAGAUCUACUCCUUUUUUGUUCAAAUGUCCUUGAAAAUUACAAACAAAAUGUUUGGCAAUACCCUGAGAAGCCAAAUACUUUCUUCAGCUGGCAAGGUUCUCUCUUAAUAAAUUCUCUGUUUGCCAGUGGAAGGUACUAAUGACAAGGACUGUACAUGAAGGAAAUUAAUGGACAAAAUCUUCAUUAAAGUUAGAUUUAUGUCUACAUUUACGUAAAUGUAAAGUUGUAUUUAUUUUAGGUCUGUGAAAGAAAAAAAUUCUUGUCAAAUCUGAGCAUCUCAGCUGACAUUCUACUUAAACUGGACUGCUCUGUCACUGGAGAUUUGGAGAUCAGUAAUUUCAGGACCCUCUGUUAGUGCAUUAAUGGUGCUC